rnacentral:rRNA from 1 species
CUACGGGGGGCAGCAGUGGGGAAUUUUGCGCAAUGGGGGGAACCCUGACGCAGCAAUACCGCGUGAGUGAAGAAGGCCUUUGGGUCGUAAAGCUCUUUUCUGAAGGAAGAUAGUGACGGUACUUCAGGAAUAAGCACCGGCUAACUCCGUGCCAGCAGCCGCGGUAAUACGGAGGGUGCGAGCGUUGUUCGGAUUUACUGGGCGUAAAGGGCACGUAGGCGGCCUGGCAAGUUAAGGGUGAAAUCCCGGGGCUUAACUCCGGAACUGCUCUUAAAACUGCCAAGCUAGAGAUAGUCAGAGGCGGGUGGAAUUCCUGGUGUAGAGGUGAAAUUCGUAGAUAUCAGGAGGAACACCGGUGGCGAAGGCGGCCCGCUGGGGCUAUUCUGACGCUAAGGUGCGAAAGCGUGGGGAGCGAACGGGAUUAGAUACCCCAGUAGUC